ACUGAGCAGGGUGGAAAAUGGUGGAGCGUUGUGGAAAACAGGGCAACAAAACUAUUAUUGUGAAAUUAGGUUAAGGAUGUUUACAUCAGUCAAAAACAGAGACGUAUUGACAAAAAUUUCGAAAGCUCCUUGUACUCGUUUGGAAGUAUCAUUACGUGUGUUAUUACUUGUUGCACGUACCCAUCUCUUAUUAUGAGCAAUUAGCGUGCGCUGCAAGUCUUCGACAGGUAAUAACCGAGUGGCGAAGCUUCCAGGAAGCUCGAAAAAAGAAAAAAACGAACGAGUUUGGGCGGUUUAAUUGCGAAUUGCUAAACGCACAACGCACAGCACGCACAAAAUGUGUUAAAAGUACGUUUUACAGCAAGUAAAAAUUCUGAAACGGACAAUUGAAAGUGGAAAGUGGACAAAAUGACAAAAAUGACAAUUGUCACAAUUGCAACAACAACAAGUGAAUAACUGGGAAAUAACUGAAACUAAACGGUCAGCGUUAAGCAGAAUCGUUACGAAAUGACAAAUUGUUGGUAAUUAUUAAUCAUGAAAAGAGUUAAAGUGUGUUAAAUUGUCGCCAGGAGUGAUUCCCAGAGAUGGCCAACAAUACAAAAUGACAUGUGACAAUUGCAACUGAUCAUAUGGUGUUAUUUGGGUUGCCUGCAAGUAAUUCAAAAAUACAUAACCAUAACCUUUUUAGUGAUGAAUCGUUAAUCUUGUUUCCAAUUAAUUACACGUGCCUCACCAACGGUCGUGAAUGGGUUUCGACGCGUAAUUUUUCGUUUCAUCGCGCGCUGCGCGGUGAUUAACAACAUUAGCCGCAUUAGCCACAUUAACCAUUAUUAACCUUCCACAUCCUAAGCCCCAGCCUUCCGCUCGUCGACGCACAAAGGCGCGUAAUUAAUUUGAUUCGUCGUUUUCGCGGCGCUCAAUGGAAAUAAACGACGAGUGUGCGCGUA